GGAGAUGUGGCCGAGCAUGGCUAAAGGCGGUGGUUUGCUGAACCACUAAAGUCCGCGAGGGCUUUCGGAAGUUCAAAUCUUCUCAUCUCCG
rnacentral:tRNA from 3 species